GCUCGAGGUGGCGAACGGGUGAGUAACACGUGGAGUAACCUGCCCUUGACUUUGGGAUAACUUCAGGAAACUGGGGCUAAUACCGGAUAGGAGGCUCCGUGCUGCAUGGUGGGGUUGGAAAGUUUCGGCGGUUGGGGAUGGACUCGCGGCGUUAUCAGCUUGUUGUGGGUAGUGGCUUACCAAGGCUUUGACGGGUAGCCGGCCUGAGAGGGUGACCGGCCACAUUGGGACUGAGAUACGGCCCAG
rnacentral:rRNA from 1 species